rnacentral:rRNA from 1 species
UACGUAGGGUGCGAGCGUUAAUCGGAAUUACUGGGCGUAAAGCGUGCGCAGGCGGUUUGUUAAGACAGAUGUGAAAUCCCCGGGCUCAACCUGGGAACUGCCUUUGUGACUGCAAGGCUAGAGUACGGCAGAGGGAGAUGGAAUUCCGCGUGUAGCAGUGAAAUGCGUAGAUAUGCGGAGGAACACCGAUGGCGAAGGCAAUCUCCUGGGCCUGUACUGACGCUCAUGCACGAAAGCGUGGGGAGCAAACAGG